rnacentral:rRNA from 1 species
GUAGGGAAUAUUGGGCAAUGGAGGCAACUCUGACCCAGCCAUGCCGCGUGCAGGAUGACGGCCCUCUGGGUUGUAAACUGCUUUUAUACGGGAAGAAAAAAUACUACGUGUAGUAUACUGACGGUACCGUAAGAAUAAGGAUCGGCUAACUCCGUGCCAGCAGCCGCGGUAAUACGGAGGAUCCAAGCGUUGUCCGGAUUUAUUGGGUUUAAAGGGUGCGUAGGCGGAUCUUUAAGUCAGUGGUGAAAGCCUGCAGCUUAACUGUAGAAUUGCCAUUGAAACUGAAGAUCUUGAAUGUGGUUAAAGUAGGCGGAAUGUAUCAUGUAGCGGUGAAAUGCUUAGGUAUGAUACAGAACACCGAUAGCGAAGGCAGCUUGCUGAACCAUUAUUGACGCUGAGGCACGAAAGCGUGGGGAGCGAACAGGAUUAGAAACCCCGGUAGUCC